GCAUUUUUUGCGGUCCGGAGCUGUAGGAAUCUGAAGGCUAGACCGUCCCAUUUCACAGCCUCGCACUUCCGGCCUUCUUGGACUUCGAAGGACCCGGCCCACGUAGACCGCGAAGGCCGGGUCCUUCGAUGGAUGCAGCCGACGUUUUGGGACACAGCUACAAAUUACCUCAGACACACAGACUGAUGCGACAAAACCAACAUGGCUGGUAAGGAGAUGAGGAGGAAACAGUAGCAGCUGUGUGAGGUUACUAAAGGCAGUGGAUCCCUCAGCAGCUGGAUUACAAAGAGCACAGCUUUGAGCACCUGCCCCUUUAAACGUCUCUGCACGGCCCUGAUUCCAGGCUUCUGUACGGGUGUUACAGCUUAAUCUGACCUGGAGAGACAAACAGCAAAGUGGAGCAGACUGACACAGUUACUGCAGACGUAGAUGUAGCCGUCCAUGCCAAAUCUACACCCUUGGAUUAAAUGGUUACUAUCUAAGUUAACUGGCUCCGGAGCAUGUGAUAAAGUGAUAGUAAUGUCUUAGAGGGUAAUAUUUCUAUGUGGACUAUUGGAAACAACUGAGCAUUGUUAUGAGCCUGCUUCUCUGGUAAGUGAGUAACAUGUGAUUCU
ensembl:lncRNA